CGAUAGCGUAUAUUAAAGUUGUUGCAGUUAAAAGCUCGUAGUUGAAUUUCUGGGUUUUAGAAGCACCCGAUCCUUUGGAUUGAGAUAUAUAGUGUCUUCGCCCAUCCCCUUUGGUGUAUUAACACGGACUUUGAUGUUCCGGUUAAUGGACCAAGGAAUUUACUUUGAAAAAUUAGAGUGUUUCAAGCAGGCGAUUUGCUGGAAUACAUUAGCAUGGAAUAAUAGAAAACGACCUUUUUAUCAUUUUAUUGGUAUCAUGAUAUAAGGUAAUGAUUAACAGGGACAGUUGGGGGCAUUAGUAUUAUAUUGUCAGAGGUGAAAUUCAUUGAUUAGUAUAAGACUAACUUAUGCGAAAGCAUUUGCCAAGGAUGUUUUCAUUAAUCAAGAACGAAAGUUAGGGGAUCAAAGAUGAUUAGAUACCAU
rnacentral:rRNA from 1 species